rnacentral:lncRNA from 1 species
UGAAGCUAAGCCUCCUGUUCCGGCUCCGGCGCCGGAAAAGGCGAAAGGGUCUAAGAAGAAAUCUGCGGACAGCACUGCUACUACUGCAGAUGAUGCUGAAUCGGAUGCUAUCAGUGUGAAACAAAGGCAUGUUAUGUGGGUUGCAGUUCUUGCACUUUUCAUUGCAGCAUUUACGUAAUGAAGCAUUGAACUGAAACUAUACCAUUGGGGUGGAUGAAAGGUGAAUAUGAGCAACAUUUUGCAGAUACAUACAGUGAUUUUAAAUAAUUGUUCUCUCUCUCUCUCUCUCUCUCUCUCUCUCUAUAAUGAUUCAAGUUUCAGGUUGUAUGUGGUGGAAAUUCUAUUUGAUUUAUGAAGGCUUUCUUCGUUCUACUAGUUCUCUUCGAUCCCCCUAUAAGAAAAAACUUCAUAUCUUGUGUAUUACUUACGAGAAAUUUGUGUAUAAGUUGCAACGAAGAUAUCUUAAUAGAAAAAUGAUACAGAAGUUUUGUUUACCUUUAUUAUUGUAUUUACAGUCAAUAAUUUUAGAGUUCUAUUAUUUGAUUUGGUCAACAUGAAAACAUAUCAUAUAUGAUAUUGUAUGCAAUGAUUUUAGAGUAGUUAUGACAUUUUUAAGUUUUUUUUUUAUCCAUGCAUCAAAAAAAUAUAUUACAAAAUUAAAGGGAUAAUAUUUUGUUGUCCCAAUUUAUAAUCAAGAAACAUUUUCCACAAUUUUAUAGUCCAUCCUAUUACGAUUCUCCUAACCACAAAAGAAAACAAAAUAAUACUAAAUAAAGUGUUUAAUUUUUUAAGAUAUUAAAUAUACUUAUUUUAUUAUAAUGCUGUAUAUUUACUCCUAUAUUACAAAUUAAAAUAUUCAACAUGAAGAAUGAGAAUUUCACUCUCACAAUUGUCUAUCCAUUCCGGUCAACUAUCUUUUACUUCUAUCUCUGAAUUAAAUAUAUUUCAUUUUUUUUUAAAUAUAGAAAAUUAAAAAUAUGUUUUAUUUCAUAAUUUAAAUAAUUCAUUAUAAAUAUAAAAUACUACUUAUACAUUCAAAAUAUUUGUAUUAUAAAUUUAAUUGUAAAAAAAUAAAAUUAUGAAGUACAAUCCUAUAUAAUACUAGCUAGUUUAAAAUAUUUUGUAAGGUGUCAAAGAGGAUAUUUAAAGUACUCUUUUUAAAAAAUUAUUGGAUAUAUUAAAAAAACGUGGCUGAAUUAUAAAAAUUAAAAAAUAAAUGAUACAUAGACACUUAAACUUACAACAUGUAUAUAUAUGUUGCUAAUAAAGUAUAUAAUUAGUAUAUAAAGGUGUUCACGUAUCACUCUUUCAAAAAAAAUAAUCUUCAACUAUGAGUUCAGCUAAACAGAAUGAUGCAUUCCUCUCAAUGUGACUCUUCGAAAAAAAUGCAGGUAUAAAUUAUUUGUAAGAAGCCAAAGUUAUUAAUUCUCUAUGUUUUUUUAAGUUAGAUAAGAUUAUUAUAGAUAAUAAUUUUUUCUUUUAUGAGUGUUUAAUACAAUUACUUGGAAAUCACAAGUAUAUACCUUUCAUGAUAGGUAAGAAUACUAUAGAUACCCAAGAUUUGAAUUUGAGAAGACUAAAUGAAUUAGAAUAGUUGUAUUAGUUUAUUCCUUCUAGUAUGCAAUAAUUUGAUAUAUAAUAAUAAUAGUAAUAAUAAUAAAAAUAAUAAUAUUUACAAUAACUUUCUCUCUAAUUAUUAUUAUUAUUAUUAUUAUUAUUAUUUUUAUUAUUAUUAUUAUUAUUAUUAUUAUUAUUUUUAUUAUUAUUAUUAUUAUUAUUACAUGAUCAAGAAUAUAAUCAAGCUACAUCAAGAAAGAAAACAGAAUGAUAUCUCUAUAAAAGUUAUUUAUAUUUUAUCUAUUAAUUAUAUAUAUAUAUAUUAUGCUAUCAUUAAAAUAAAAAUUAAAUAUUAAAAUUAUUUAAUAUCUUUAUGAAAUGGAAUAUUUUAAUUACUUUAUUAAUUAAUAAAAUAAUAUAUAUUAAUGGAAUGUUUGAGUAGUAGAUAAUUUGAUCUACUAAACAUGCUAAUAAACUUGGAUUUCUAAUUUUAAGUGUACUUGAAAAACAAUUAUUAAGACAAAUAAAAUCAAUUUUGGGGAUAUUUUUGUCUUGAAAGAACUUAAUUCUUAAAUAUCAGAAAAUACUCAGUACGUAGAAAAAGAAAAAGAAAGUUAUCUAAAUUUAGAGGGUUGGUGUUAGUCUGUUUUGAGGGUAUUUAACACGUGGUUGAACAGAAACUUAGCAUGCAAUUCACUGAUUCUCUCACAUCCAUCCAUUGUCAAUAUAGUUCAUGAAAAAAUUGAGCCUUCGAUCAAUUAAUAUGUGCUUUUUGGUGGAAACAAAAACAAGAAAAAGAGAGCUAACCCCUAAUAAAAGCAAUGCCCAAAGAAUCAUCUGAAAAAAAUAGUAAUAAUAAUAAAAACUUAUGAAACCUGAAAGGAAGUUGGAAUCAAACUCAAAUGCCCAAAGCAUCAUCCUCGAUCAUAUGACCUUUAUUUCACUAAGAAAAUCCGCACAAUUGUUUGCUUCUCGCAAAGUGUACAAGAGAGCUGUAAUAUCCUCAACGAAGGCACUAAAUUAAUGGUACUGAAAAAUUGCAUCUGAACCACCCAAAUUGCAUCUAAGAAUAAGACUGAAAAAUGAUAAUCCCAAGCCAACUUCAAAUUAAU